GAAUGAAGAAUUCACUUUUUCAUAAUAACAUCAAGUUUUAACUAUUACUACCUGCAUUCCAUUUGCCGGCAUUAGUUCAGCCGUAGGCAUGGGACCUACAUCUGUCCCAGCCAGCACACCAGCCGCAAGGCCUGUACGUCGGGUGCUGGGACUAAUUUAAACAUGGUGGGAUCGGUACUAGUCAGUUCCGAACUAGUUCAAACAUAUAUAAGUUCCGGCACACCAAGUGCCGGCACUAGUUCGAACACAUACUAGUUCUACCUGUGAUUUGCUGUACAUGAUUCAGUUUGCUGUUGAAACAUUUCUGAAAUAUAGAUAACUUGGACUAAGGUCAAACUGAGUCCAGCCUGCAGAUAUGUGAAACAAAUGCUUAACCUCCCAAUGCUCACAAAGCACCUACCGCUCCCAAUGCUUAAGCUCCAGAGCAAAAGCUGAAAGAGGAACUAGAUAUGAAUUCUGCAGCGUACAUU
rnacentral:lncRNA from 1 species